rnacentral:lncRNA from 1 species
GUCUUUCACCAUCAUUUAUUCCCUUGCAUACUGAUGUUAUACAGAAGGCUCAGAUGGACUUCAGAUGCCACCAGGACAAAAGAAUGCAUGCUCCCCGUAUGAGUCAUGGCUGGACGUUCUCUUGAAUGGCAAGGUUUAUUUAUGGCAUAGGUCCUUCAAUGCCAUUGUGCACAGAGAGGAAUACAACUCCAAGGGCAUGCCCUACUCUGGAUGCCAGACACAGCUCCCAUUAGCAGUAACGAGUACUACGUGUGUGACCGUUCCUUGUGCUGGACCACUUCUUCACGGCUGCAUGGGGAGGGCCUGUGCCAUCCAUCAUCAUCUUCCACUCUUUCUUACUUACUUAUCUCUUAAAUAACUCUCCA